CCCUUAGAUGUUCUGGGCCGCACGCGCGCUACACUGUUCGACACAGCGAGUCUUAACCUUGACCGAAAGGUUUGGGUAAUCUUCAGCAAAGUCGAACGUGAUGGGGAUCGAUCAUUGCAAUUAUUGAUCGUGAACGAGGAAUUCCUAGUAAGUGCAAGUCAUCAGCUUGCGCUGAUUACGUCCCUGCCCUUUGUACACACCGCCCGUCGCUACUACCGAUUGAAUGGUUUAGUGAGAUCUCUGGAUUGACGCUGGCUAGGGGGCGACCCUUGGCCAGGCUGUCGAGAAACUGCUCAAACUUGAUCAUUUAGAGGAAGUAAAAGUCGUAACA
rnacentral:rRNA from 1 species